GUUUUUUUCAAAGAGGACCAAGGUUCAGUAACAUUACAGGAUACAGCAGCUCCAUUGAGAGAUCGAAAGAUUAACUCUUCGAAUAUUUCUGCUUCAUUUUCGUCUUCACCUUCUCUUCUUCUACCUUCACUGUUACAGGUAACUAAUUUAUGUGAUAUGGAGAUUGAUGACAUGAUAUGCUUAGUAGGAUUGGCUCAGCAUGGGACACAUCGGCAAUUGGUGCAAACAAUGGCAAAGUUCAAAUACAGAUGACGAGAAAAUCUAAUGGUACAAAGUCUCUCUAUGAACCAGUCGGGUACGUCUUGAUUAUAUGGUGUUCAGCUGUAUAAUUCAACCUGACCCUCGGUUGCGAAAUAAUCAAGUUCGAUCACUCAAUACCCCCAUUUUUCAUCUCAUUCAACAAGAAAAAUAAAAAAAAAGGGGAAAGAAAGAGGAAGUGGCCUACUCCAGAGGGUUCCAAUUUUGCAGUUAGAUCAGAGUAUGUUUCACUCUCUCAAUGUGAUAAAUGGUUCGAGCCAAUCAGAUCUUUAGAUUUUUCAGCUCACAAUGAGCUUAUCUCAGUUACGAAGAUGGAGGAUGAGCUGCUGCAGACCUUUGGCUGUUGAAGAACAAUAUGAGUCUAUUCUUGCAGUUGUUACCGUUGCACAAGAUCUGAAAUCUGUACAAGGAAAGUUACAAGUUCCGAAAAUACAAUAAACAGUCUUUUAGAUUGGGGGAAAAGUUGAUAGUCGAACAAUGGAAGGUGAAUCGCCUAAUUUCUCAAUGAAGGGCAUGAUUGAUGCUGGGAUGCACAAAGUGUUCACCUUCAUGGCCCUUGGUGAGGUCAUUUUGAUAAGGUCCAGUCUAGACGGCAUACAUAGCUUUGGGUUGAAACCUGCGCCCAAUAACUGUUCAAUAACGAAGAUUGCAGGAACAUCAAGUUCUUUUACUCGCUAUUUUGCUUUGUGGCCUAAUGGUCCUUGUUAAUGAUGUGCCACCUAAAGUUAAUCAGUGCCUAAUAUAAACUAAUCUUUUUUGCUGAUAAGCGUGAUUUAAUCCUUGUAAUAGAAUAACAAAUUAGACAAAGCACAAAACCUUGGGGCAAAUUUUGUAACAAUCAAACGGUUUUCAACCAACGCAUAUAUGAAAUAUAAUCUAAUUGCCUUAUUAUCUUA